rnacentral:rRNA from 1 species
CAGCAGCCGCGGGAAUACGAAGGGGGCUAGCGUUGUUUGGAUUUACUGGGCGUAAAGCGCACGUAGGCGGACUUUUAAGUCAGGGGUGAAAUCCCGGGGCUCAACCCCGGAACUGCCUUUGAUACUGGAAGUCUUGAGUAUGGUAGAGGUGAGUGGAAUUCCGAGUGUAGAGGUGAAAUUCGUAGAUAUUCGGAGGAACACCAGUGGCGAAGGCGGCUCACUGGACCAUUACUGACGCUGAGGUGCGAAAGCGUGGGGAGCAAACAGGAUUAGAUACCCCGGUAGUCCCUGUCUCUUAUAC